rnacentral:rRNA from 1 species
GGGUUGUCAUGCCAAUGGCACUGCCCGGUAGCUAAAUGCGGAAGAGAUAAGUGCUGAAAGCAUCUAAGCACGAAACUUGCCCCGAGAUGAGUUCUCCCUGAGACUAUAAGUCUCCUGAAGGAACGUUGAAGACGACGACGUUGAUAGGCCGGGUGUGUAAGCGCAGCGAUGCGUUGAGCUAACCGGUACUAAUGAACCGUGAGGCUGAACCUUACAACGCCGAAG